ensembl:lncRNA
GUGAAUGUUCUGCAGGCUACUACUGUGACUGGGGCUCCAGCAGUCUGGAGCAGAGUCUCUGUCCUUCCGGUUUCUAUUGCCCAGCAGGCCCACACAAGCCCCUGGCCUGCACUGCAAGCACUUACAGCUCCGUCAUGGGCAAAAGUCACCAAGGAAAUUGUUAGCCAUGCCCAUUAUGCUUCUACCGUCAGGUAGCAGAGCCUCUUCCAUGUCUGCCGGGGCAUUUCUGCCCCACGGGCACAUCACAGGGCACUCAGUUCCCCUGUCCUCCAGGAACAGUGCAGGCACAGUCUGGGACAGCCAGUAUAGAUGAAUGUCUACCAUGUCCUGCAGGCAUGUUUUGUGCUCGCCAUGGUCUUUCAGAGCCUACAGGGUGCUGCCAGGAUGGAUUUCACUGCCCUUUAGGGGCUACAAGCCCAAAUGGCACUUGAAAUCUGGUAUAUAUUCUUCUGUCUCUUAAUAAAGACACUGUGUGUUCAGAAAGGGUUAAACUAAUUUACAAUGUGUGAUUUGCAGAUUGAAUCUACAGGCAACAACUUGCACCCGCCUGGCCAUUAUUGUCCAACUGGUAUUGGCUUUCCUCUCCCAUGCCCUGCUGGAACAUUCUCCAGCUCCCCAUGGUUGAGUGGGACAGAGCAGUGCCAGCCAUGUCCUCCUGGGUACUUCUGUGUGCAGACUGCUAUGGUCCAUCCAUCAGAAGCAGCUCUCUGUGAUGCUGGGUCAUUUUUGCCCUUUUGGCACUGCUGCAGCUGUACCGUGUCCUGUGGGCACACUGGGACAGGUUACCAGGGCUCAGUCGGAGGCUGCCUGAGUGCCCUGUCCUACCGGCCUCUACUGCAACCUGGAACAUCACAACCACAGGGGGGUUACUCCAUAGAAAGCUGUCUUCCAUGCCCAGCAGGGCAUCAUUGUGCCAGCGAGGCCCUGGAUGCUCCAACUGGACACUGUGCUGCAGGCUUUUACUGCCCCAUAGACUUCUCCUCCACCACCCCGCAUGCCUUCCACUGCCCCAAAGGUCAUUACUGUCCCUUAGGCUCACCCCUGGCCUUGCCCUGCCCCACGGGACAGUACCAGCCAAAUCCGGGCUCGGAUAACUGCAUCCCCUGCCGUCCAGGCUAUUACUGUGAGGAGGCAAUUAUCGGAGACCCCCGGCCUUGCCCCCCACACUCCUACUGCCCUGCAGGUAACCCUGCUGCUGUAACUCUCUGUAUUAUAUCUGUAGUAUCAUUAGUACUUGCACAUUAUCUGAUUUUGCUUGUAAUUGCAGCCACAAUGAUUCCUCAGCCCUGUCACAAUGGCACAUAUACCCCACCUGAGGUCGGGGGUCUGCUAGAGGAGAGAGAGUGUUUGCCGUGUCCACCAGGAAAGUUCUGCAAGGCUGGCCAGGUGAAAGGCCUGUGUGCUGCUUGAUUCCUGUGCAUCUCUGGCAUUUCAGAGUACAGCCCCCAGGAUGCUUCUCUGCUCAACAGAGAGUGGGGAGCACAGUGAGUGGGGAGCACAGUGUGCUGGGCCGUGUCCUGCUGGUA